AAGUCGUAACAAGGUUUCCGUAGGUGAACCUGCGGAAGGAUCAUUACCGAGUUUACAACUCCCAAACCCCUGUGAACAUACCACUUGUUGCCUCGGCGGAUCAGCCCGCUCCCGGUAAAACGGGACGGCCCGCCCGAGGACCCCUAAACUCUGUUUUUAGUGGAACUUCUGAGUAAAACAAACAAAUAAAUCAAAACUUUCAACAACGGAUCUCUUGGUUCUG
rnacentral:misc_RNA from 1 species